GAUCCUGGCUCAGAAUGAACGUUGGCGGCGUGGAUUAGGCAUGCAAGUCGAACGCGAAAGGGGGCAACUCCAAGUAGCGUGGCGAAAGGGGUAGUAAUGUAUGGGUAACCUACCCUCGGGUCUGGGAUAUACGGUGGAAACGCCGGGCAAUACUGGACGUCGUCAUUGAUCGGCAUCGGUUAAUGAUGAAAGGUUACGCCCGAGGAGGGACUCAUAUCCUAUCAGCUAGUUGGUGAGGUAACGGCUCACCAAGGCGACGACGGGUAGGGGGUGUGAGAGCACGACCCCCACCACUGGCACUGAGAACUGGCCAGACUCCUACGGGAGGCUGCAGUCGAGAAUCUUCGGCAAUGGGCGAAAGCCUGACCGAGCGACGCCGCGUGGAGGAAGAAGGCCUUCGGGUUGUAAACUCCUGUCCGGGGGAACAAAACAAUGAGUGAACCCAGAGAAGCACGGGCUAAGUUCGUGCCAGCAGCCGCGGUAAGACGAACCGUGCAAACGUUAUUCGGAAUCAUUGGGCUUAAAGGGCGCGUAGGCGGCGUUGUAAGUUGGAGGUGAAAUCCCAUCGGCUCAACCGUGGAAUUGCCCCCAAUACUGCAAUGCUCGAGGGAGGUAGGGGCGAGUGGAACUUCCAGUGGAGCGGUGAAAUGUGUUGAGAUUGGAAGGAACGCCGGUGGCGAAAGCGACUCGCUGGCCCUCUUCUGACGCUGAGGCGCGAAAGCUAGGGGAGCAAACGGGAUUAGAUACCCCGGUAGUCCUAGCCUUAAACGUUGGGCACUAGGUAGAAAGCGAUCCGAUGUCGCCUUCUGCCGGAGCGAAAGUGUUAAGUGCCCCGCCUGGGGAGUAUGGUCGCAAGGCUGAGACUCAAAGGAAUUGACGGGGGCUCACACCAGCGGUGGAGCAUGUGGCUUAAUUCGAGGCUACGCGAAGAACCUUAUCCUAGACUUGACAUGCACGGAUUAAUCCGCUGAAAGGCGGAGGACAGUCGCAAGACCGGAACGUGCACAGGUGCUGCAUGGCUGUCGUCAGCUCGUGUUGUGAGAUGUCGGGUUAAGUCCCUUAACGAGCGAAACCCUUGUCCUUAGUUACCAGCGAGUAAAGUCGGGCACUCUAAGGAGACCGCCGGUGUUAAGCCGGAGGAAGGUGGGGAUGACGUCAAGUCCUCAUGGCCUUUAUGUCUAGGGCUGCACACGUGCUACAAUGGGGCGUACAAAGGGAAGCAAACUCGCGAGAGCAAGCAAAUCCCAAAAAGCGCCCCCCAGUUCAGAUUGCAGGCUGCAACUCGCCUGCAUGAAGCCGGAAUCGCUAGUAAUCGCAGGUCAGCCAUACUGCGGUGAAUGUGUUCCUGAGCCUUGUACACACCGCCCGUCAAGCCACGAAAGCGGGGGGCAUCCGAAGUCGCCGUGCUAACCGAAAGGGGGCAGGUGCCGAAGAUGAAACUCGUAAUUGGGACUAAGUCGUAACAAGGUAACC
rnacentral:rRNA from 1 species